AAACCCAGCUCAACCCCGCCCCCGCUCGCCUCUCGGGGAAGACUUCCUUCCCACCCACGCCCAACCUCCUCCCACAAACAAAACGUUCCAGACAGGCCCCUAGCCUCCAAAUACCUCAGUUAACAGUAUUUCCCACACCUCCCUGCUUCCAGCUACAACGGUUCUUUUUCACCAAGCGGACCCCAGACUGGAGACACAGGGGUCGGCCUCGAAGGGGGAGAACCAAACCAGCUGGCCUUGUAAGGAUUCUUCACCAACUUGGCACACCGAAAAAUCAUCACAAUUAGGAAGAGAAACAGAAGAACAACAAAGGCAAUGGCGAAGGCUUUGUCUACGUCAACACUGCUUGACAGGCUUGAAUCAUCCAUGGGAACACACAGCUCUUUACCCUUGUUUAGCUGUAGCUACCUCUUCAGGAGCUUCGAAGGGAUUCAGGACAGCAAUCCUCUCCCCCCAGCACCCAUGUGUCACUUUGGCAUAUGCAUCAUUCAGAACUGAAGGCAUUUGAGACCCUGAAGCCUCAAGAACAGCUUUUGUCUCUCUCUUAACCACACAAAAAAUUCUAAAUCUGGGGGUGUUUCCCAAAAUAAGGGUUAUUAAGGGAGAUAAAUUUUGUCUGAGUGACCCAUCUGUAUGGUAUGGCAAUCAUCUAAUUGCCAAACAUCCGCUCUUUUUAUCACCCUCUGAAGUGCAUUCCUUUCCUCUGAAAUCCCAGCCCCCUACUCCCUUCUCUGUAGUUCAGAAUGACAUAUAUAUCUCAUCUUGCCUGUCUUUGGAAUUUCCAUGUCUAUAGGGAGUCCCUGUAUGUACACCUAUUAAAUUUGAUUUUUCUCCUGUUAA